rnacentral:rRNA from 1 species
GUGCCAGCAGCCGCGGUAAUACGUAGGGAGCAAGCGUUGUCCGGAUUUAUUGGGCGUAAAGAGCUCGUAGGCGGCUUGGCAAGUCGGGUGUGAAACCUCCAGGCUCAACCUGGAGACGCCACCCGAUACUGCUAUGGCUUGAGUCUGGUAGGGGAUCACGGAAUUCCUGGUGUAGCGGUGAAAUGCACAGAUAUCAGGAGGAACACCGGUGGCGAAGGCGGUGAUCUGGGCCAGUACUGACGCUAAAGAGCGAAAGCGUGGGGAGCGAACAGGAUUAGAUACCCUGGUAGUCC